GGCCUGGUGGUCUAGUAGCAUGAUUCCUCCUUUGGGUUUUCACUUCGAAUGGUGGAGGUCCCGGGUUCAAUUCCCGGUCAGGCCC
rfam:Hypholoma sublateritium FD-334 SS-4 unplaced genomic scaffold scaffold_5, whole genome shotgun sequence.